GAUAUCAACUGAAAAAGUCAUCAACAACAAAGUUGAAUAACUCAUCAAGAUCUAAAACUUUUAUUUUGUUCAUUUCUUCAUACGACAAAGUGAUAAUAACAUUGUUCACAAAAUUGACAUAUCUCUUAUCUGGUUUUAUAAACUAUAACACAUAUAUGUAAAAUUUGUGAAUAAUAUUACUAACAUUUCGUCGGAUGAAGAAAUAACAAAAAUAAAAGUUUUAGAUCUUGAUGAGUUAUUCAACUUUGUUGUUGAUGACUUUUUCAAUUGAAAUC
rfam:Oryza sativa Japonica Group DNA, chromosome 12, cultivar: Nipponbare, complete sequence.